rnacentral:rRNA from 1 species
AGCGUAGGCGGUUUGGUAAGUUGAGUGUGAAAUCUACCGGCUUAACUGGUAGGCUGCGCUCAAAACUACCAAACUUGAGUGAAGUAGAGGCAGGCGGAAUUCCCGGUGUAGCGGUGGAAUGCGUAGAUAUCGGGAGGAACACCAGUGGCGAAGGCGGCCUGCUGGGCUUUUACUGACGCUGAUGCUCGAAAGCAUGGGGAGCAAACAGGAUUAGAUACCCUGGUAGUCCAUGCCGUAAACGAUGGAUACUAGGUGUGGGUAAGCAAUUAUCCGUGCCGCAGCUAACGCAAUAAGUAUCCCACCUGGGGAGUACGGCCGCAAGGUUGAA